AGCGGGCCCGGCCCGGCCGGUCUCGGCCACCCCGGUGAGACCUUCGGCCUCUCCCGGCUGCCGGCAGCCAUUCUGUCCCGGCGACGGAGCGUGAGGCACGGCCGCUGCCCGUGGAGGCGGUCGGUCGGUCUAUCGAACCACACAAUGAAGGGGAAGGAUGCGUGCCAUGGUGACUCACAAGGUUUCCUGCCAUGUUCUAUCGCAAGAAUGGAAAAGACGACAAACGGGAAAAGGCAGUGCAGAACAUUAGAGUCGAACGCCGUGACAAACGUGCAGAGUACCUCGGGCUGUAAAGGAAAAUUCUGACACACGUGCCGUUUUAGCAAUGUCCCAGCAUCCUUUCUGAAGACGCAAAUUAACAGGAACUAUCCACAAAGCUAAUUUUUGCCAGAGGUACUGUGCUGCUCUUCAAAUCAUUUAAAGCCAGCUACUACCGUAUCCAAAUCAAAGCAGCUAGUGUUGCAAGUAAUAAGCAGAGGAAUUUCCCAUAGCUGCUGUGGGGGAAAGUAAUUCUCAAAUCCCAAGCUACUGUCUUAACAGCCGAUUUUCAGAUUUAAAAAAAAGUGAAUAUUACAAAUAACACUAAACACAAGACAGGAAAUACUAAGGAAGGUGAAGAGGCCACAUCUAAGCCAAACAUUUUUAGUUUAUGGUAAUUCAUUGAAAACCUAGUCCUUUGACAUGUUAAACUGGCUACACCCUAACCCUUCACUUGUUGCAUGGUAAGAAGUUCCUGAUAAAAUAUUUCUCCUUAGUACUUUAAUUGUGUUCUUGAAGUUUCUGCCACAGCCUCAGACACACUCUUCUGGAGCGCUGCCUCCGUCUCCUUGGCAUCACCCGAACCCACUGGUGGCCACUCCCCACAGGAGUGUUCAGUGGGUGCUCUCUGCAUCUCACAUUGCAUCAGCUGCAUUUGUUUGAACAAUCUCCACGGGCCGUUCAAACCAGCACUGCUGACUUCACCUGCAGCAGAUUAGGAAGCGCUCAUAAACUUUGCUAGGCCAACUGAGCUCUGCAUUUGAAAAGCGGAAAUGCACACAUGUAAAAAAUAUUCAGGGUCAGACUACACAAAAACUUAGUUCGAGGGGAGGUGUUUUAUUGUCUUUAUAUAUAAAUGUAAACACUAAUGUCAAGUACCAACGAAUCACAAGUGUUCUCAUUGAAGCGCAGCGUUGCUAACCUCUGGGGAAGCGGGGGGGGGGGGGGGGGG